AAAAUGGUUUUCUACCCUUCGUGGUAGCGUGUUUUUUUUAAAAAGAAGAGGUUUUCGUGUGGGAAACAGCUUUUAAAAAGAGUUUUCUCGUGAUUUUCCUAACUUAGUAUUUCAAAAUAAAUUUCCGAGUAGGAAACCUUUCAACUGAUAGUUGUAGUUUCAUUAUUAUACUCUGAAUGUGAAUCCGUUGUGAAUGGUGUAUGAAUAUAUGAUUGUAUGGAUGUUGUAUAUUCAGUUGUGGUGGUUGUAUACUGUGUAUGUAUCUUAUACUUGUGUGACGCCGUGCAGAUAAAGAGGAGACUCUGUCCGUGUGAAUAGUGGACUCCCUGCAUUUGUGGCGGAUCUGGCAUACCCUGGGGGUCAAGUUUUCAA
rnacentral:lncRNA from 1 species